rnacentral:piRNA from 1 species
AGACCAGCCAGGUGUCUUCCCGGGCCCUGCC